rnacentral:rRNA from 1 species
UGGAGCAUGUGGUUAAUUCGAAGCAACGCGAAGAACCUUACCAGGUCUUGACAUCCCGAUGCUAUUUCUAGAGAUAGAAAGUUACUUCGGUACAUCGGUGACAGGUGGUGCAUGGUUGUCGUCAGCUCGUGUCGUGAGAUGUUGGGUUAAGUCCCGCAACGAGCGCAACCCCUAUUGUUAGUUGCCAUCAUUCAGUUGGGCACUCUAGCGAGACUGCCGGUAAUAAACCGGAGGAAGUGGGGAUGACGUCAAAUCAUCAUGCCCCUUAUGACCUGGGCUACACACGUGCUACAAUGGUUGGUACAACGAGUUGCGAGUCGGUGACGGCGAGCUAAUCUCUUAAAGCCAAUCUCAGUUCGGAUUGUAGGCUGCAACUCGCCUACAUGAAGUCGGAAUCGCUAGUAAUCGCGGAUCAGCACGCCGCGGUGAAUACGUUCCCGGGCCUU